AUGGCUCGGCGCCGUCUGCGCCUCCCGGCCCUUCCGCCGCCUGUUCCGCGCCCUCCACCUGGGGCUGCUCCUCGGUCUCUUCAUCCCAACCGACGGCAGCGCCACCCCCUCCUUCGCCCCGCUGCGCCGCCGCUCAGACCCGGAUGUCACGGCCGCCCUCCGCUGCGGCGACUUCUUCCUCACCUCCCUCCCGCUCGAGGCCGACCCGCCCAAGGGCUGGAGCCUCAUGGACUGCCGCGACGGCUACCUCCUCCUAUGGAACACGCUCUCCCUCGCCGCCGUGAACCCCAUGACCUGGGCCAUGGACAUCAUCCCGAUGCCCGGCGACGAUGUGGCAAGCCGGGAGUCGCAACCAUUUCUCCUUCCUUGGUUUCAGUCUGCUGUGCUCCACACGAGCACCCGUCGUCGUUCCGCGUGGUCUGCGUCUGCUUGGACCAGCAAAGGAUCCGUGCCGCCGUCUUCUCCUCGCAGACAUGGGGUUCGGUCGUCCACCCGUGGGUGCAUGUCGGUGGCGACCGCAGCCUGAGGUUCAACAGUAGCACGUUGGUGAAUGGGUCCGUUUACUGGCCUGUCCACGGUGAACGCCACAUGGUUAGGAUAGACACAGCCACCAUGGAUAUCUCCUCUGUGGAUCUACCCUCGGAAGUGAAGGUGCACGUGCUCAAUUUCAAGGCUGGGGACACUAAGGAUGGCCGAGUAUGCAUCGUCUAUGGACCUGAUGUCUUCCUUCGCGUUUGUAUCCGUGGCGUGGACAGUGAUGGAAUCGAGGUUUGGGUUUCAGACGUUGCAAUCAAUUUGGGUCCAGAAAUUGAUCGGGCCACUCAUGGGUUCACUCAUGACUUGCAUGUCUACCUCAAAGUUGUGCAAGUUAGGUCUGGAUAUGUCUACUUGUCCACGACGUGCUUGACCCCUGCUGGCACACUCCACUGCUGGUUUUACUCCCUUUCAUUGGAGACCUUGGUGCUUGAGUUACUGGUCGAGGGGAAAUUCGACGGUUCUGCCCAUCUCUAUCAUAUGGCCUGGCCUCCUUUGAUUGGUGAUGAUGUGACCACUGGACAUGAAGUUGAAGGUUCUCAUUGA
rnacentral:rRNA from 1 species